rnacentral:rRNA from 1 species
UACGUAGGCAGCAAACGUUGUUCGGAAUUACUGGGCGUAAAGAGUGUGUAGGCGGUUUCGUAAGUUUGGUGUGAAAUCUCCCGGCUUAACUGGGAGGGUGCGCCGAAAACUGCGAGGCUUGAGUACUGGAGAGGAGAGCGGAAUUCCUGGUGUAGCGGUGAAAUGCGCAGAUAUCAGGAGGAACACCGGUGGCGAAGGCGGGUCUCUGGGCCGAUACUGACGCUGAGGAGCGAAAGCGUGGGGAGCGAACAGG